rnacentral:misc_RNA from 1 species
GGGACAGUGGCAGAUCGACACUGUUGGCGUUGCGCUCGACGCUCGCCGGGACCAGAUCCGGUAGCUCCGGCGGGUCUGGCCGGAUCGCCGGCCAUGGGGGCUGGGAUGAAAGAGAGAAGGAAGGGGGGACGUCUUGGCUUCUGUGGUUACUGUUGCUAACGAUUGGUAAUCUGUGAUUCCGAUUCCGAGAAUCUGUAUUGACAUCUGUGUUGUUUAAUUUUUGAUGGAGCUGAUUAACGAAUUCAUCAUCGUCGCCGUCAUUGGUGUUGGAGAAGAGGCCAUCAACGCUGACUGCUCUUGUGAGGGUAUGGUGUUUUCUGCUCAUCCUUCCUCCUCCGGUGCUGAUGAUAUCUACGGACCGCGACCGGAGGAACGGCGAUCGGCGUCCGUGGAGGCCGUGAUGGGCGACGGCAUGGUCGGAGGCGGCGUUUCCUCUCCUAGUGGAGGAGGAGAGGGAGGAGAAGAUGGAGGCCAUGGUUUGCG